CCCCGCAAGGGGAGCGGCAGACGGGAGAGUAACACGUGGAACGUACCCUUCAGUUCGGAACAACCCAGGGAAACUUGUGCUAAUACCGGAUAAGCCCUUACGGGGAAAGAUUUAUCGCCGAAAGAUCGGCCCGCGUCUGAUUAGCUAGUUGGUGAGGUAAUGGCUCACCAAGGCGACGAUCAGUAGCUGGUCUGAGAGGAUGAUCAGCCACAUUGGGACUGAGACACGGCCCAA
rnacentral:rRNA from 1 species